UUUAAAUUUUGGACAACAAUUGUCUAGUGAUGUUGCAACUUUUGGAGUUGGGGCUAUUCAGGUGACAAUCACAACUCUUUUGCCACAUCUGAAAAAUUCUCUUCUCCACUCAUGAAUGUUCUUAUUCCGUGCAUGUUACUGAUGUCUGGUCAUAAUAAUGCAAGGUGAUACAUAUUUUUGUUUAGGUCAUUGAGGCAUAUUUUUGUUUAGGUUGUUAUCACUGUAAUUACUACUUGGUGGACAAAGCUGGUAGACGUAUACUUUGUGAGUUUUUGGAAGGAUGGUUGAUUCUACUUCCUGUUGGAGUUAUCUGUUCAACUUUAAAAACUGACAACCAAUCCUGGUUGUUGUUAUAAGUCUCCUCUUCUGGAAUGACACUCUCUUUGUUGCAGUUGCAUUUUACUUAGAGAGAAAAAGUCUUCUUCUUAAGACAUGAAGGGAGCUUCUGUUGGUACUAAAUCCGAUCCACGCAUCCAAAGAACUAAGCACAUGCUGCAUGAGAUGGAAAAGUCCCAAACUGAGUUGUGGGUGACAUUGGUUUCUUACAAACCCAAUGUUAAUUCGGGUGAGCUUCAAACACUAUCCAUUAGUUAACUACAAUUUGAUCUUCACAUGGAAAUGGCUCUAUCCACUUCUUCAGUUACUGUACAUUGCAGAUAACAAUCUUGAGAACAACCCAUGGCAUGGAUUUGAUGACUGGUCACUCAAGAUAAAAACCAAUGCGCCUGAAUGAAGUUCUGAAAAUGUUGUUGGUUUUUCUUCUUCAGUUAUUCUUGAAAUUUAUAUUGGUUGCUUUCAAAAGAUAAGCAACAAGGCCCUUAGUAUUCAAAUAAAAUCUUAUUAGUUGUUGCAUGGUUUCUUUCACAAGUUCUGGUAUAUUGCCUCAAGAAGUUGCUACUCCCACACCUGCGUGAAGCCUUUCCCAUCCACAUGUAGGCACACGUGCCACUGUGGCACACAUGUACAGGAUAUGAGAUUUCCAUUAGGUAUGCGACAUAGUUUAGAGAUUCUGGCCAAAAUAAGGCCAUUUCACUCAUAUGAGCAACCGUUGACAAAAGAAAUGCAUGGCUAAAACAAUUUUUUUUUCUAGCCAUCCAUUUAUUUUGUACACUUUGGCUGACCUGAGUGGAACAACCUAGUUUUAAUCUAAACAAGUGCAGCCCACCUGAUGGAUAGCUUGGAUCUUGCACAAGUGUGCCAUAUUGGCACGUGUUCUUUUAUGUGGAUGGGCAGCAGUUCACUUGUGUGUGGGCUUAGCAAACCUGUUGUCUCAGUUCUCAGUCUCCUUUAGUAGUUAGCCUUAUAAAAUACCAAAUUUCUUG